GAUGAUGUGCCCUUUGGAGCUAGGGCGCGGGGGAACCUGUAGGUCGUGGGUUCAAGUCCCACCGUCCCCACCA
rnacentral:tRNA from 1 species